AAUCAAUACCAUCUGCGUUAAGAUGUCGGGGAUGUGUUAGACGAAUGAUUUUGUUUUAUGGAGCUUUGAAGAGCGAUGAAUGGCACUAAAGUGGUGCCAAAUUGAUAUCUCAAACACCCAUUGUUGAUGUGUGAUGCUGAUAAUACAGAGACAGCUAGAGUGACAGAGUUUGAUGAAUAAACUUAAAUUAAAAAACAGAAAUAACCACCAUCUCUCUCAGAGGUCGUCUUUCUCAUUAUUGUGGGGAAACCUCAAAGGGCAUCAGGAAAACCUUCAUCAACCUCUUUGUGCCCAGUGGCUUGUGCAACGGUGUUUCAGAA